UACAGAGGGGGCAAGCGUUAUUCGGAAUUAUUGGGCGUAAAGAGCUCGUAGGCGGUUUGUCGCGUCUGCUGUGAAAACCCGAGGCUCAACCUCGGGCCUGCAGUGGGUACGGGCAGACUAGAGUGCGGUAGGGGAGAUUGGAAUUCCUGGUGUAGCGGUGGAAUGCGCAGAUAUCAGGAGGAACACCGAUGGCGAAGGCAGAUCUCUGGGCCGUAACUGACGCUGAGGAGCGAAAGCGUGGGGAGCGAACAGG
rnacentral:rRNA from 1 species